GAGAGUUUGAUUCUGGCUCAGGAUGAACGCUGGCGGCGUGCUUAACACAUGCAAGUCGAGCGAAGCAUUAAAACCGAUUUCUUCGGAAAGAAGUUUUGAUGACUGAGCGGCGGACGGGUGAGUAACGCGUGGGUGACCUGCCUCAUACAGGGGGAUAACAGACAGAAAUGUCUGCUAAUACCGCAUAAGCGCACAGUGCUGCAUGGCACAGUGUGAAAAACUCCGGUGGUAUGAGAUGGACCCGCGUCUGAUUAGCUAGUUGGUAAGGUAACGGCUUACCAAGGCGACGAUCAGUAGCCGGCCUGAGAGGGUGAACGGCCACAUUGGGACUGAGACACGGCCCAAACUCCUACGGGAGGCAGCAGUGGGGAAUAUUGCACAAUGGGGGAAACCCUGAUGCAGCGACGCCGCGUGAAGGAAGAAGUAUUUCGGUAUGUAAACUUCUAUCAGCAGGGAAGAAAAUGACGGUACCUGACUAAGAAGCCCCGGCUAACUAC
rnacentral:rRNA from 1 species